rnacentral:rRNA from 1 species
CCUACGGGAGGCAGCAGUGAGGAAUAUUGGUCAAUGGCCGAGAGGCUGAACCAGCCAAGUCGCGUGAGGGAAGACGGCCCUACGGGUUGUAAACCUCUUUUGUCGGGGAGCAAAGCGAGUCACGUGUGACUCAUUGAGAGUACCCGAAGAAAAAGCAUCGGCUAACUCCGUGCCAGCAGCCGCGGUAAUACGGAGGAGGCGAGCGUUAUCCGGAUUUAUUGGGUUUCAAGGGUGCGCAGGCGGAGGUGCAAGUCAGCGGUCAAAUUGCGGGGCUCAACCCCGUACUGCCGUUGAAACUGGAUCCCGUGAGUGCGCGAGAAGUAUGCAGAAUGCGUGGUGUAGCGGUGAAAUGCAGAGAGAGCACGCAGAACUCCGAUGGCGAAGGCAGCAUAACGGCGCGCAACUGACGCUCAUGCACGAAAGCGUGGGUAUCGAACAGGAUUAGAUACCCCGGUAGUC